GCCAUCAUGGCAUGGAAGUGAAAUACCAGAACAUUCUAGGAAGAACCGAGAGCAUCCGCUUAUGAUAUUGUGACAUUUCAAUUAAGCGUUUCAAAUAUUAUCAAUUGAAAAAACCUGCAAUAAUUUCCUCUGUUACGCUAACACCCUUUCUUCAAAGUAAGCAUCCCAAUCCUUUUCUUUCGAUUUUUCUGUUUAGGUUUUUAGCACUUUCAGCUCCUUUUGAUUUUCAUUCAUUUUUGCUGUUCUUUAUCUCUUGAUUUCUUUAUAAUUUUUCUCCUCUUAAUAGCGCGUGUUUCGACGGGUCCAGCGUUUUAAAAUCUGUGUCAGAAAAUUUGGUAAAUGUUAUGUUAGCUGCUCUAUUUGGUGUAAUUUAAUGACCUGUGAAGUUACAGAGUGUUACGGUACUUGCAUAGAACAGAGCAGCCAGCUAAGAAUUAGUUACUUGUACUGAAGGGCAGACGCGUGUGAACUACAGUUGUCUGCAUCUUACUUCGUUGGAUGCUAGAUGACAACAUCUGAUAGAUAGACAGCCACAAGGAACAUCAUGAAUUACGGAAGUGUCAAUUUUGUUGAUGUCUUUAACUUUUGAAGAUUAGGAUGUAUUGUUUUGUUGUGAACUUGUGACAAAAGCACUGCGUUGAACCGGGCAAUCAGGGUUCAUUGUUGAUUCAACUUGUAAGAGAGUCCCUCGGAGGUGUUUGUCAAAUUGUUUCAGACAGAUUUGGUGGUUAUUUUGUAGAUACCUUCAUAGUUGCAUGUAUAUGGUUUUCUAACACAAUAUCUUAUAUCUUGUUAUGAUUUUGUUUAUGCUAGAUUUAUUAGGUGAUAUUUUUGCUUUGGGAAAAUUAGUGAAUUGAAUAACCUUUUUUGUUGGUCCCCCACAAACUUGAAGGAUGUCAGAACCACCAUUUAGACCACGAGAGAAACUUAUUGAGAAGCAAAAGCAUUUCCAGAGUGUCCAUAAGCACACGUAUUUGAAAGGACCAUAUGACAAGAUUACCUCUGUUGCAAUACCACUCGCAUUGGCAGCAUCUUCAUUGUAUCUGAUUGGAAGAGGGAUCUACAACAUGUCACAUGGAAUAGGGAAGAAAGAAUGACUUACACUUUCUGAUUGAUUUCUGUGCUUAUAUGUCUGGUGCCUUGAUAAAUUUCUGUAAUUUUCAGACUUUGAUCACCAAAGGAAGUUCAAAACUUGGAAUGAAUAGUGUUCUCUAUUUGGUUGAUGUAACGAUGUAAUGGUGAUUCAGUACUUGUGUGUAAUAACUGGAUGUUCAUGUUCCUUUUUGAGUCAUUUUCACCAGCUAUAUCUCAAAUAACAUGAACAAAAUACUUGAGAUAUGCGAUCAUAAAAAAGAGAGAAGAAAGCACAUUUUUUCCUAUAGAAUAAUACCAAAAAGUAUGAAUAUUGUGGAAUUAAAAGUAAAUAUGGAAAUUGUUUUGAAAUGGAAGAUUCGUUGUCUUAUUUGAACUUUCAUUUUUAGUUUUUUAGUGAUUUUUCUUAUUUAAAAUUUCAAACACGUGAGGAGUUUAUAUUU
rnacentral:sRNA from 1 species